rnacentral:rRNA from 1 species
GGAUUGUAGUCUGCAACUCGACUACAUGAAGCUGGAAUCGCUAGUAAUCGCAGAUCAGAAUGCUGCGGUGAAUACGUUCCCGGGUCUUGUACACACCGCCCGUCACACCAUGGGAGUCGGAAAUGCCCGAAGCCGGUGACCCAACCAAAAGGAGGGAGCCGUCGAAGGCAGGUCUGAUAACUGGGGUGAAGUCGUAACAAGGUACC